GAGGUUGAUGGUUAACGUUUGACCAGGUCUUGGGAGUGUUUCAACAGCUCUGCACUCAUUCAGGUGCAAGCAACAUAAAACACUCCAAAAACAAGUUUCUAUAAGAAAAGAGAAGUAUCUGAGCAAAUGUGUGUGGGUAUACUUGGCCAAGCGCUGACAUCAUGGAUUUCUGCGACACUGUUCUUUCAAGGAAUCCAACAGAGGAAUCAAUAAAUAAUCAUUAAUUAUGAUUCUCAAUGAUCUUACUUUACUACUAAUUGUUUUUUUUUUUUUUGUACAGUGUUUACAACAACUGACUCCAAUGUAAAGUCAUAUAAACUUGGUGGUGAAACUGAUACUAAAAUAAUGAUUGAAAAUGACGGAUGGUUAUAUCUGAGGGAACCUUUUGACUGGGAAACAAAGAAGGUCCAUAUUAUAACGUAUGUGCUGGUGGUAUUUGCAAAAGACCAAGAUAAUACAAACCUUGAGCAACCAAUCGAGGUUCACGUAUCAGUUGCGGACAUUAAUGACAACCCACCAGUAUGUGAAGUGCCACUGACUGUAUCAGAGGUUCAGGAAACUGAGAAAAUAGGAAAUCACAUUGGAUCUCUGGAAACUUUUGACCUGGAUGAAUCAGACAGUUUAAACUCUGUGCUGAAGUAUCAGAUUUUGGAUCAGGAGCCGAAGCUGUCUUCUACCAUGUUCAUUAUCGAUGAAUACAGCGUAUGAACUCAAUCCCAUACAAGAAGACACACCAGUGGGAACCACUUUACUAACAAUUGGGGCUAUCGAUGAGGAUGAGCCAAAAACUGGCAGCUCCAACAUCCUGUACCACGUUGUAGAAGACGAUCCAGAAGGAACAUUUGUUAUCAGUACAGACGAAGAAACAAACCAAGGACAUGUGAUGAUUAACAAGGUACAGACUGGAAGGGGAUGUCUUUAACUGGUUGAAAAUCAAUUCUGAAACUGGGGAAAUAAUUACAAAUGCAGCUCUGGACAGGGAGAGGACAGACACUUACAAAGUGAGGGUUAUUGCUGUUCAGUCAGGGAGGCGCAGGCGGCGGUGAGGACCAUGGAUCCGGCAGGCAAGGAUGGAGUAUCCCAUGCUGAAAGCUGCCAUCCUCAAGUGCGUGGGUGCGACUCCUGAGGGCUACCGCCUGCAAGUUCAGGGAGGAGAACUUCUCGGCGGAGGAACACCCCAAGGCCAUCGCGCAUCGCUUGCAGGAUUACGCCCGGGGAUGGUUGAACCUGGGAGCUACCACCACUGCCAGGCUGGUGGAGCUGGUCGUAAUUGAGCAGUUCCUGCAGUGCUUGGCUCUGGGACCCCAUGUGUGGGUGCAACGGCAGGCACCCGCCACCCUGGUAGAGCAGUAUCAGGCAGCAGUAUCAGGCAGCAGAACCAACGCUCGCUAAGCUGCCUGGAAACAGAGCUACUCCUGCAUGACCCCCUCUAUUGGCCCCAGGGACGACAAAAGGACUGGGGGGGGGGUAGCCAGGUCUUUGGACGGAGUGUGGCGGUGGGAGCUCCAGGCCCGAGAACUGGGGCAGAGUGGGGUCACCCACAGGCUGCUGUGGUGUUGGACUGGUGUCUCGUGUGGCCACCCUACCAUCGAGCCCCUUUGAUUGCUCCUGUGUCUCAAUCUCCUGCUGAAGCUUCAUGGCGAGAAACCAGUUCACUGAUGUGUGGAACAAGCUGGGAGGUGAGCCACAUCGACUGCGAUUGCCCCGCUAUGGGAUGUGACCUCAUCCGUUCAGGUAAGACAGUUCCAUUCCAUCAGUCACUCCAGCAGACGGGUUUUGUGAUUCCUGUGUCAGUGGAUGAUACACAAACCCAGGCUCUCUUAGAUUCAGGGUGUAGUCAGUCCCUAAUACAGGAGAGCUUAACCCUUUGCGGUACUAUGUCGGACCAGGUCUGACAUUACAAUUUUCCCUUCCCUGUCCGACAUCAUAAAAAAGACGUAAAAAACAGGUCUCUAAUCGUUUUUUCUCCGGGAAAAAGCACAGAACCAUUCAAUGGCCGAGUGAGACUGAUAGAAGCCGAGAGAAGCCGAAAAAAAGGGGCGGAUCUCAGCAAUACACAUUGCCCCGGCACCACAGAUCACACAGACAAAAAUACUUUUAAACAGCGCGUCUAAAGUAAACUGCAUGUGUCUGACGCACCUGAGAUGUGCUGAAUUAAUGGACUGGAAAGAGUUAAUCUCACUGGGGCAUAAGCAAAUAACGGGACAGGUGCAUAUUAAACGGAUUCAUGGGGAUGUGCGCACUUAUCCUAAGAUGUUUGUGAAUUAAAAAAAUUGGUCAGCAGGUGACACGAAUGCAGUUGGGUUUGUGUCCUCAAUUGCCAGUGCCUGUAGUUCUGGGCGGGACUGACCGAGCAGUUUUAAGAUCGGUUGGCUGCUGUGACGGCCCCAUUCUCCGUAUUGGCUAAGAAAGAGGAAGUCAUUGGAGAGAUAUUCCCCUUUCAUGACCCGGACUGCUAUUGCUAUAGAUUUAGACCCUGCAAAACUAAACGGGAAGGCCAAGCCACUAAGAAUGAAGACUGGCAAUGGAGGGAGUCUGGGAAGUUUCAGGUGGGGGAAAUUGGUGAAGAGUCUGGGGGGGAGGCCACGGAGUCAGCGCAGCGGUCUGGCUCUGCUGCCUCCACUCAGGACCGACCUGAUCCAGAGCUGGAAGCCAUGGGAGCUGAUUUUUUAGCUCGUUCCCAUGACUUCCAGCUCGAGCAAGGUAGUGACGAUGUGCUGGGCAGGCUCUUUGACCAAGCAGCUGUGGUUAAUGGUCGGGUGGUCGAGCCCAGACGCACCGCCACAUACCCUCACUUUGAAAUGAAUCGAGACCUUUUGUACCGUGUUGAAAAAUUACCCCAGACGGGGGAAGUGCGUCCCCAGUUGCUCAUUCUUCAGCCCUUUCAGGAGGAUUUGUUGCAGCUUGCUCAUGCUAUUCUACUGUCUGGUCAUUUGGGAAGGGACAAGACCAAAGCGAGGCUCGUGACACGGUUCUAUUGGCUGGGGCUGGAUGGUGACGUCAGGCAUUUUUGCAAACGCUGUGGGGAAUGUCAGAAAGCUAGCCUUAGAGCCGUCCCACAAGCUCCACUGAUGCCAUUUCCCCUAGUGGAAGCUCUGUUUGAGCGUAUUGGAAUAGAUAUAGUGUGACCGCUAGAAAGGAGUGCGGCAGGAUACACCCACCUAUUGGUCAUUUUGGAUUAUGCUACGCUUUAUCCAGAGGCCAUUCCCCUCCAAUCUGCACCUGCUAAGUCUGUUGCCAACAAACUUGUGAAGGUUUUCUCCUGGGUGUGGAUCCCCAAGGAAAUACUGACAGAUCAAGGCACCAACUUUGUCCCGGAUAGUCAGUGGAAAAGGGGUCGGUACAGAUUGCAGAUAAUCUGACACCAACACAGAAAUGUCAGGCUUGGGCGAAGGGACUGAAGGGAGUCAAACACCAUCCUCUCUCUGGAUUCCGGGGUCAGGGGUAUCUGCCAGUACACCUUCGUUAAAUCCAGUGUCGUCAUAAAAUGAGCCAUGCCUAGACGCUCCAGCAACUCAACUAUCCGGGGCAUGGGAUAAGCGUCAAACUUCGAUUUUUCAUUAACUCGAUUGAAGUCAAUGCAAAAUCGAGUUGAUCCACUAAAACAAUCGGACUGUUCCAGUCACUCUGGGACUCCUCUAUUACACCCAGUCUGAGCAUCUCAUCAAUCUUCGCCUUUAUUACCUGCCUUAUUUACGCUCAGGUAUGCGGUACGGCCUCUGGCGAACUGGCUCCCCCGACUCAAUCUCAAUGUGAUGGUAGGCUACUCGAGUCUGCCCCGGGACAGGAGAAAACACAUCAGGAAACUGUUGAUGAAUAUGUACCAGUCUUGAUCAUAGUUUUGUCAAUAGCAAUUUUGUAUAGAUCUGCCAGUUUUCAAACCUGUCACAUUGCCUCUGUGUUGCUUCUGGUGUGUAUGGUCAUGUUGCUGAGAAUGUCUGUCUGUCUGUCUCAUCGCCAAUUUUAAAAAGAUUGCAUUGUGUCUGGUGUGUGGAGACUUUGAGGCUUGUAUUUAGCUCCCUACAGGCUCAGUUCCCCCCUCUCCAGCACCACGACACAGGAUCCUGCAACGGAAGAACAAACAGCACUUGAUCUCCACACUCCCUGGUCAUUCACCACAUACACCCCGAUCUUAGCCCUCCCUACUCUGGUUUGGUCUUCCGACCCGGCCACUGGUACUUUAAAUUAGGUAGGGUAGGACCUCGCGUCUCGGGUGUGUACAGGGAGCUGACUGUCCGUCCCUUGGCUCGUGCCUGUUUGCUCUUCUGAGGCGUCGGUCAUGGAGGGGAAUACAACACCUUGUCAUAAAACAUCAUUAAUACUGGUAAUCUACAUAUUUCUGCCACGUGUCUUUAUUUAAUAACAUUAACAGUCCUCUUUUAAUCAAAAAGCGCCAUUUCAACAGUAGAAUUCAAGAAUAAAUACUUAACUUUACUAUCAGUUUCUAACCAGUCCUUCCAUCGAGCUGCCGUGUCUUUAUCUUUCUGUAUUCCCUUUAAAGUUGCAAACGAUCCUUGUUGUUUACCAUGCAGGUCUGUCUGUGUCCUUGUGAUGGGGUGCAGCCUAUUUUGUGGUGGUUCUGUGUUUUUUUGUAUUGUUUAGAGUGGAUGUGAGUGAGUUUGGGGUGUGGUUCAGUGAGUGUGUGUGAGGAAUGUGUGGAAUGUGCCUGGGCUAAUGAGGUGUGAAUUGCCCAAUUAGCCCAGGCAACUGUAUAAAAGGGAGUGGUUGGGUUUGUUAGGAGGAGAGUGUUUGUUAGGAGGUGAGUGUAACAGAGAGAAGACGUGUGUUAGAGAGAGAGUGAGUGGGUUUUUUGGGGUUUGUUUAAAGCCUGUUUUGUGUUUGUCUUUUUGGUUGGCCAUCGUGCCUUUUUAUUUGUGUUUUGUUAAUUAAAAUAUUUUGGUUUCACUGCACUUUCUGUCUCUGAGUCUUCCCUCUGCUGCUAUCCUGCCACAGGUUGGUGUCAGAAGUGGGAUAGCGCCCCCUGGAGACUCAGAGCGGAAGUGCAGUUUUUUUGUUUUGUUUAAAAAAAAAAGGGAAGAGAGGAUGAGGUGGAGGAAAAUGGAGCUGGCCCAGGAGGAGGCAGAUGACAGCUGGGAGCUAUUUUUAAAAGGGCUCGCGGCAGAGUUGUGCCCCGGCUGUGGGGCAUAUGGACACACAGUGGCCAUCUGCCCCACCCAGUAUGAGGAGGAGGAGCUGCCGCUUCAACAGCCCGAGUGGGAGGCGCCCGAACGUCCACAGCCCGAGUGGGAGGAGCCCGAACGUCCACAGCCCGAGUGGGAGGAGCCCGA